AUUGAACGCUGGCGGCAUGCUUUACACAUGCAAGUCGAACGGUAACAGGCCGCAAGGUGCUGACGAGUGGCGAACGGGUGAGUAAUGCAUCGGAACGUGCCCAGUCGUGGGGGAUAACUACUCGAAAGAGUAGCUAAUACCGCAUACGAUCUAUGGAUGAAAGCGGGGGACCGUAAGGCCUCGCGCGAUUGGAGCGGCCGAUGUCAGAUUAGGUAGUUGGUGGGGUAAAGGCUCACCAAGCCAACGAUCUGUAGCUGGUCUGAGAGGACGACCAGCCACACUGGGACUGAGACACGGCCCAGACUCCUACGGGAGGCAGCAGUGGGGAAUUUUGGACAAUGGGCGCAAGCCUGAUCCAGCAAUGCCGCGUGCAGGAAGAAGGCCUUCGGGUUGUAAACUGCUUUUGUACGGAACGAAACGGCUCUGGUUAAUACCCGGGGCUAAUGACGGUACCGUAAGAAGAAGCACCGGCUAACUACGU
rnacentral:rRNA from 1 species